UACGUAGGUGGCGAGCGUUGUCCGGAUUUACUGGGCGUAAAGAGCGCGCAGGCGGUCGUCCAAGUCGCGUGUGAAAGCCCCCGGCUCAACUGGGGAGGGUCACGCGAUACUGAUCGACUCGAAGGCAGGAGAGGGAAGCGGAAUUCCCGGUGUAGUGGUGAAAUGCGUAGAUAUCGGGAGGAACACCAGUGGCGAAGGCGGCUUCCUGGCCUGUUCUUGACGCUGAGGCGCGAAAGCUAGGGUAGCAAACGGG
rnacentral:rRNA from 1 species